ACGCUCGACACCUACGGGAUGCAGCAGUUAGGAAUAUUGGGCAAUGGAGGAAACUCUGACCCAGCAACGCCGCGUGAAGGAAGAAGGUUUUCGGAUUGUAAACUUCUGAUCUAGGGGAAGAAGGAAGUGACGGUACCCUAGGAGAAAGCCACGGCUAACUACGUGCCAGCAGCCCGGUAAUCUGAGCGGGCUGGCAAGGC
rnacentral:rRNA from 1 species